rnacentral:lncRNA from 1 species
GUUAACUUAAAAUUACUGUCAGAAGAGUAUGCAAAGACUUUAUGGACAGUGAACAAUUUUUGUUCACUCCAAAAAAUCAAAAGCAUUUUGCACACAAGCUUACUGUGAUGAUAAACAGAGGAAAUUGUUGGGAACAGGCACAUUUUGGAACCACAUGUAAAGGUCAUGCUGUCACCAUUCAUUAUUAUUAAUAGUGCAACAUAAAGUAGACGCCUGAAUACAGUAAUGUUAUCCCAAGAAAUAAUCGCAGUCAUCAGUAGGAACAGAUAGACUGUAGUAUUCUACUAUUCACUCUAGCUUCAGCUCAAUAACAACUCAUGAGAGCUCAUAAGACAUGACACAAAAGUAUUAAAAUAACCAAAAAAAUGGUACUUUAUUUUGAUGAACCUAAAAUGUAGUUCUGUUCGUGAUGGAGAUAUAAAGGUGAAUAUAUCAAUGUUGUUGUUCGAUUUAAAUAGAAGUCAGCUGCAAACAAAAUCAGAAUCAAAUUUGGAACCAUUUGGGUGACUCGUUUUUAGUUUAGUGAGAAUAUUUUUACAGUGGUGCCCUCUAUCCGUUUUAUUUACAAAUUCACAUAAAAAUACAUUUCAGAAUGUUCUUUAUUUAAUGCUAAACGAAAUAACGUAUAUAUUUGUACUGUUUCAGUGACAAUUGUGGAUGGUACAGAAUUUUGUUAAUUUAAACUAAAUCAGAAAUUAACAACCUAAUCAUCAGAGAGCAUGCGCUAAUUUACAACUAUCACUCUCUGUCCAAGUCACCAGUAUGUUGGGCCAAAUUUUUGCGAUUAACAGUUCAAAUACAACAUCUUUAUUACAAAAAUUAAUAUAUUUUUUUUAUUUAAAUAAUUUUAUAUUUUUUUACAUUUCCAUUAAUAAAAUAACUAAAUUUCUUUAUGUAACUUCUUAAAAUGUGUAUUUUUAAAAUUAAUUUUUAACUUACAUGCUAAUAAACGCAUUUUUUAAUACAUUUUCAUUUUCAUUUUUUUUGUGUAAACAUCAAAAUAACUAAAAUAAGCAAUUGAAUGAGCAUAUAGGGCACAUAAAAUUUUACAUAACUGUACCUAAUUUAAGUUUUUACACAAGUGAAUAACUGUUCAUUAUCCACAACAUUUAAUCUUAAUAUUAAAAUAGAUAUAACUCAUCUACAAAAUUCGAUGGUAAACUUUUACCAUCUAGAUUUAUCUAUUAGUCAAUGAUUUUAUCUUAUCAUUUUUUAAGGUCUUUAUUUUUUAUUGAAUUGGUUUUCAUUGCUUCCGGAUAUUAUAGAUUUCUAGUGAGGUGGACUAGCUCAAACAGUUUCUGUGUCCAGUGCAGAAUGCUUCAUUUUAAUAUUUUUUGGCCCCACUAGAUGUACAUAGUUACUUGAAGGUACCUUUACUGUAUCCCUGAAACUUGGGUUUAUUGAUUUUAUUUGCUGAUCUUGAAUUGUUUUAAAGAUUUGCCCGACUAUUUUAAGGAAACAAAUUUUGAAAAUAUGAGGAUUUUGAAUCAUUAAUAAAGUUGCUAUCUCCAAUGUAACCGCUUCUUUACUUUUGGCAAUGAAGCACUUCCAAAAAUAACUUUUCAAUUGCAUAUCACGAUCAGUGCUGAAUCUUGGCUAAAGUCAGUAGGGAUUACAAAGAGGACUGAACUAUAGUCCAUACAUUUGAUAUUCAAUAUUUAGUAUACAACAAUGUUUCACACAGUUUCAUUGUUCAUUAUCAAGAAACGCUACAAGUAUAGGUUGUAAGUCUUUCAAAAGCAUAUUGUAGAUAACAACUGCAGUGUGGUGAAAGAAAGUGGAAAGAAAUUGGAAUAAACGAAGCUAGAUAGUUUUCAUGGGACAAUAUUUCGAAAAGAAAUAGUUUCAUAGGUUUUGGAAAUAUGUAUACAAAACCCUUGUACUGCCAAUGCUGGCAUAUGGAUUAGAAACAUGAAACAUGUGACCAUCUCCAAGACUGAUGAAAACAUCUUGCUCUAAUGCCGAAAUGGGCAGAACAUCUAGCAAUAUCGCAGCAGAACAAACCUUCCAGACGAAUUCUGAUGUGACAGCGGUGAGAUGUAGACGAAUAGGUAGGUCAAGGUACCAAGGUAUUCACCAUGGAAGAAGGUGUAGAAGAAGAUGCUAGAAGAUGCAACAAAUUGGCAAGGGUUGACAAUGGAAAGGACUGACUGGCGAAAUAAACUUCCAGAAAGAAAGGUCCAGGCUCUAUUAUAGGGCUGUAGCACCAUCAAUGAUGAUAAGGUUUCAGAAAACUUAUCAGGUACUACUCAAUUUAAAACUCUUUAAUGAUGUUCGAAACCAUUGGUCAAUCCAACUAAUAGUUUGGACUUUACCAAGUAGAUAACUAGUAACUCAAAGGCAAAGUUGUGGCCACAACAUUGGCUUAUUAAAUGUUUUAAAUAUUUGUAGAGUUCUAAUGAUUAUUACAAACUAUUUUCUAUAUUAAUCAAUGAUAAUACAAAAUUAAUUAACACAACUAAAAAAUAUAAAGUUAUGAGUAUAUUUCUUUUUCUUUUAUUACGGGAUAUGUCAUGUCUUAUAAAUAUGCGAAUUUAACCUUAACCAUAAAGUAAUACAGAUGUUUAUUUUGUUUUGGCAAUAGUGCUAUGGAUUUUGGACAAAUACACUAUUGGAAUGAAUACUUGGCCAACAUAGUGGUGUUAUUUUGGUAUAUGAUCACACAUAAUGUAUUGUCAGUAACUAUAAUUGAUCACCAACGUCCGACUCAUAUGCUUAAUCAUGUAAUGAGAACGACAAACUGAAAAAAUAAGGAAAACACUUGGCUGAAUUAAUAAAAUAACUCUGUUUUGCAAGAAAAAUUAUUUGAUAUACUUUUUGUCGAAUACAAAAACUAAACCUAUGUAUAUUUUAAACAGCAAGCAAUUUUCUAUUAUUUCCAGUCUGAUUUGACUGUAGCUUUAUGGUCGAUUGGGACGUUCGUGAUUAUCAUGAUUCCCUAUUACAUAAGUAAAAAUAAUUGCCUGUGGGAAGAAAUCAACAAAAAUAAAUUAUUCUUUAAAAAAAUCGUCUCACUAAAAUAAUUAUUAAUAAAAUAUAUCUGUAUCUACAGGAAUUUUUAAUCACACUACUCAGGCGCCCAACUGGCCAAUAUUAAUAAAUUAAUAACUAAAACCAACCAACAAAUGGCAAGAUUUUCUGGAAGGGGAUCCCAGAAGUACAUGGACCGACAUGAAACCAUAAGUUUAAAUUUAACCAAUAGCAAACUGUGUCACCUUUUGUUGGUUGGUUCUCUCAACCGUCCAUACCAAGAGCCUAUCAGGUAGUCUGAUUAAUCGUUAAGAAUAUUGUAAAUUAAACUGAAAGACGUAAAAACAUUGUAACCGAAACAUCCAGUCUCAACGAAUUUAUUAAACAAACAUCUCAAAUCGUUUUGAACACAACACGGUGCUUUGGUAAUCGUUUUGUUAUCACUCGUGCUAUUUUUUUACUUUGAGAAUUUUAAUACUAAGAAUUUCACUCCAGACCUUCGACGAGAAACAUAUAUACAAUUAAAAGGGAUUUUUUAAUCAAUAUUCCCCUUAUUCAUAAACGGAUAUAUAAUGAAAAUCCAGAAUGAAGUUAUCUGACCGUUAAUACAAUAUAUCUACAGUAUAACUUGUAGAAAGUACCACUGUUCUGAAAUGUAUACAUAAAUUUUGUAUUUUUGAACAAAAAUUUACCAGUUGCUCAAAAUUGCUUAAAAAUAUCAUUGGAAGUACAGUUUCUACAAGUUGCUGUAAAAAUUUCACUGUCAUACUAAGAACACUAUAAUAUAUUUUCGUACAACAAGGAUGCAUCUAGCUAUCGCUUGUUGUUUAACAGUCAUUUGAAGCAUUGUGUUCGUAGUAUGUCAGA